rnacentral:rRNA from 1 species
GACGAACGCUGGCGGCGUGCUUAACACAUGCAAGUCGAACGGAAAGGCCCUGCUUUUGUGGGGUGCUCGAGUGGCGAACGGGUGAGUAACACGUGAGUAACCUGCCCUUGACUUUGGGAUAACUUCAGGAAACUGGGGCUAAUACCGGAUAGGAGCUCCUGCUGCAUGGUGGUGGUUGGAAAGUGUCGGCGGUUGGGGAUGGACUCGCGGCUUAUCAGCUGGUUGGUGGGGUAGUGGCUUACCAAGGCCUUGACGGGUAGCCGGCCUGAGAGGGUGACCGGCCUCCUUGGGCCUGAGAUACGGCCCAGUCUCCUACGGGAGGCAGAAGUCGGGAGUCUUGCACAGUGGGCGGACGCCUGAUGCAGCAACGCCGCGUGCGGGAUGACGUCCUUCGGGUUGUAAACCGCUUUCGCCUGUGACGAAGCGUGCGUGACGGUAAUGGGUCAAGAAGCACCGGCUAACUACGUG